rnacentral:rRNA from 2 species
ACUGCUCAGUAACACGUGGACAACCUGCCCAAAGGUCCGGGAUAACCCCGGGAAACUGGGGAUAAUACCGGAUAAAUCACAAGUACUGGAAGGUUUUGUGGUUGAAACUUCCGGGGCCUUUGGAUGGGUCUGCGGCGGAUUAGGUUGUUGCCGGUGUAACGUACCGUCAAGCCUGUAAUCCGUACGGGUUGUGGGAGCAAGAGCCCGGAGAUGGAUUCUGAGACACGAAUCCAGGCCCUACGGGGCGCAGCAGGCGCGAAAACUCUACAAUGCAGGCAACUGCGAUAGGGGAACAUCGAGUGCUCAUCAUAUUGGUGGGCUGUCCUUCCGUCUAAAAAACGGGAGUUAGCAAGGGCCGGGCAAGACCGGUGCCAGCCGCCGCGGUAAUACCGGCGGCUCGAGUGGUGGCCGAUAUUAUUGAGUCUAAAGGGUCCGUAGCCGGCUUUGCAAGUCUUUUGGGAAAUCCAGCGGCUUAACCGUUGGGCGUCCGGGAGAUACUACAUUGCUUGGGACUGGGAGAGGCGUGAGGUACUCAGGGGGUAGGAGUGAAAUCCUGUAAUCCUUUGGGGACCACCGGUGGCGAAGGCGUCACGCCAGAACAGGUCCGACGGUGAGGGACGAAAGCUAGGGGCACGAACCGGAUUAGAUACCCGGGUAGUCCUAGCCGUAAACGAUGCUCGCUAGGUGUCACAACAAUCGUGAAUUGUUGUGGUGCCGUAGGGAAGCCGUGAAGCGAGCCACUUGGGAAGUACGACCGCAAGGUUGAAACUUAAAGGAAUUGGCGGGGGAGCAC